CAAACAGCCAGCUCAUUUUGCUGGCUCAUGGCGAUCAUGAGAUUGAAAACAUAAUUUAUGCAUGUUUUUCUCCAGAGCCUCUUUCCUGAGGUGUGGCACGUCAGUCUUGUGAGGCUGACAGUAAAUUCUGAUCAUAAAAAUAAAAGCAAACAUUUGUAUGCUUGCCACACGCCAGAUAUGGUCCUGAGCCUGCGUCUGAUCCCACACAAAUGAUUCUGCGAGGGAUAAAGAUGCCCAGGGUCUCUUUCUCACAAAAGAGGAGGGGGAUGUUGGUCAUUCGCUAUCGGUGGACCCUCUGAGUCUACACCUUUCUCCUAAAUGUGACACUUCUCUGCUGCCCUAGCUCUGCCGUAACCCAGAGUCAACCUCAGCUCCACAUUUGGGGCUGGUCAGUUCUGCACAGUUGAGCUGUUCUGUGUGUGUUUAGUGGUAUCUGGGACCUUCUCCUUCUCCUACCAUUGAGAACCACUGAUGUAAAUGCCACCAUCCCCGACACUCUGGCCUGCAUCCCAGAGCAUGGCUUCCUUUAGAGAUAGCCCAGGACCGUGAGAGAAGGAACCCUUGAGCCUCAGGCCUUCCCUACUUACAAUUUGAUACGCUUGAAAGGUGGCCCGCAACUGCUUGUAGCUCCUCUUGGCCAGGACUUCAUUGAAGGCAAGCUCGUCGGUACCCCAGCGGCCUUCCCCUGCCUUAAGGGCCGAUCGCAAACAACGUGAAAACAAACCGGGCAAAAAGACUGAACACAUAUUGCUGUUGACACUGGGUAGGCAAUCACUUAUAUACAAUGCAGUGUAGAAUGCUACGACUAGCAGGUCACAUACGACAGCUCUGUCUCCUGACUGUCAGAAUGCCACUUUGUGGUUAAACAUCCUUGACUCUGUAGUUAAAAUGUUCCCAAUAUAUCAGAAAGUAAUGUGACAGGGCACUUUCCCUAUUGCUACACAUGCACACCAACUAGGUCUGUGUCCUCAAAAGUCCCUGACGUUGUUACAGUAUCACAUUGUGGUUUUUCACUCUCUACCUUGUGGGCUUUUCUAGAGGCUCAUGGGAAGAGAUACCCUAAAAUAGAGCUCUUGUCCAUCAUGAUAUGAGAGAGAAAAAUUAUCAUCCCACCCCACAAGUAUGCCACAGAAAUGUCUCAGAAAUCCUCAACAAGACACCCUUGACACCUGCCAAACAGGAAACAAAGAAAUGCCCAUUAAAACAGUGCUAAUGAGUGGAAAAACCAAAGGAGUGUGUGGAGCCAGUGCACACAAACACUUACAUCGUACAAAUCUUUGGCAUCCUGACCAGCCAGGUCUUUGUCCACGGUAUCUCCUUCAUCUCGACUGGCCUACAAAGAUGGAUGCAUUGCCGUUAACUCAAGGACUUGUUGACCGCAGAAAAUUGAAGAAGUGACCUCUCGGCUUCCUGCUUGUCCUGCCAGGCCUUCCUGCUUUGAUGGGCUUCUAUCCCCCCUGGAACCGUAAGUCACAAUAAUCCUUUUCUGCUGUGAGUUUCUCUUGGUUUUGGUCUUUUAACACAGCAACACAAAAGUAACUGAUACAUGCGAGGUAAGAGGGAAAGUUCUAGUAUGCACAGUAGGACGACUGAUUAACAAGAAUAUACUGUCUACUUCAACAUGACUGGAAGAGAGGACCUUGAAUGUUCUCACCAUAGAGGCAUGAUGAAUAUUUAAGGUGGGGGAUUCACUGGUUGUUCGCUUGACCGUGAUACUUUGUAUGUAUGAAAGUAUCCCACCUUAGCUCAAACAGAGCUACAAUGGUGACAUGUCAACGAAUAAUAGGAAGCUAAGCUAAUACCUUUCCCCGUCUCUUUCCCUCAUCCCCACCCAUACAACCAAGGUUAGAGUUCAGUGUGUGUUUCUCUCUCCUGUCUACUUCUAUGUUUACUAUACUAUUCUCCAAGCCAAAGGUCCGCCAUCUUUGUAGGUUCAGCUAUGCCCACUUGCAAAAGACCAUCCCAGCUCACCUUGUUGACUAUUGACCUUCCCGCAUGAGAGAAGGGGUGUAGAGGGUCACCCCUUCCAAUCAGAUAUAUGUAAUUCUUCCCUAAUUGUAAUGGAGGCAUCAAGGAGGAGCUAGAGGUAGGUACACAGGCCGAGAGGGAUGAGGGCAGGGAGCCACAGGGGAGAGGGCAUCCACGCUGGGUGCAGACCUUCCAAGGUGACUGUUUGAAGGUCACCCACACUCCUGCCUGUAACCCCCCACUCUCUGCUCUGUAAGUAAGCCUAAUAAACUCAUUGGGUCUUCAGAGUGAAUUGUGUGGAAUUGUACCUUGUUUUGUAAUUGGGACCCUAGAGGAAGACAUUCACAUCUCAACGAGAGCAAA